ACCAAAUCAUGUAAUGUCUUGUUAGGGGAACUCCUCUUUGCUGACAAUGGCACCAAUUUUUUCCUUCAAAACUUGACUUUAAUAUUGCAGAUUUUCUUAUUGUAUCCUUGCAGUCCAAUUCAUCAACUUGAAGUGCUUUCUGGUUGGUUGCUUGACCAAGAACUAAUUGCAUAUCCUAAUAAUUCAUGUCAACAGGGUUCUAGUUUGCAAGCAUCACUGUUCCAUUCAGAUAUCUCCUUUGAACUAGUGUGUCAUCUUUUCCAUGAUCUUCUUUUUCAUGACCUUCUCUCCAUACAUCAUAUUUCUAUUCUUGAGUUCUCAAUUUAGGAUAUAAGCUUCUGCAUUCUACCUCCUCAUGCCCUUGUAAUUUACAGGUAUAGCAAUAUUUGGGAAACAUAUCAUAUUGAACUUUGACUGUUCGAAUCCUAACCUCUUUAGUAGUGUUGUUGAUCACUUCAAUUUCUACAUGAUCAGGUAAUUUGGCUGCUAAAUCAACUUGCACUUUCACCCUUGCACAACUCGACCUGGUCUUAUUGAUUGUAGCUAUAUCCAGUUGGACAGGUUUUCCUACUGCAACAACUAUUGAAAAGAGAGAUUCCUUCACAAAAAGGUUGGUAAAAUAUCCAAGAACGAAAUUCAUGUCAUCACCUACGUGUCUCCACCUUUGGAUCAAAUUUGGCAUCAUAAAUAAAAGGUCUCAUCUGAUAAGCUAAGCCAUCUUUUACCGUAAUGUAAUAUACAUUUUUCGACAUCAUGUUAAUAAAGUCUUCCCUAAGCUCAAAGUGCAUUAAUAUGUGCAUGUUACACAAUAAGCCAAUCUUACAACCUCCUUUUAUUUUGCA